UUUAACUCAUGCCACAAAUGAAAUUGUUGUACUUGUAUCUGCAUUUCUCUUUUUUAUGUUUCUCCAACAGUUCAAUAGGGAAGAAUACACCUCACAGGGGAGAAAACCUCUGGUGGUCCAAGCUGAAGGAUGUUCCAAAAUAGGGAAAAUGAAAUAAAAAAUAUCUGAUGCUGCUGUCUUUGUUUUUUGAGGGCCCAUUGAUUUGAAUAAAACAAGCUGUAUGAGAGAUUGAUUCCUCUUGACUAUCCAGCGUUCCAGUCCUGUGUCUGCAUCGAUCCUGCUGAAGCUCGCUCGCAUCUGUGUACUGGGACUUUUAAAUAGAAGCUAUAGUCAAUCCAUGGACUUUUUAUGGAUGACAGAAUGCCAUUGUUUGUUGUCUUUGGUUGAAACAAUACAUUGCAGCUGAGACGCUAUUUCCCAUUUACAUUUUUGUAUGUGAAAGUCACAGUAUUUUAUUGUCUUACCAGAGUGUAGAGGGGAAGGUUUGUUUGAUCUAUUUGUGUUAGUUUCUUUGUCUACUCCGUUUUAUUUUUAUUGUAUUUUAGUUUUUAUAUUCUGUAUUUUUAUUGUAUGUUGGCCCUUUUAUAUCCUGUUUGCCCCUUAGUGUGUUUGUGCUUCCCCACCUUUUACUGAGCUUCUACA